CCUACGGGAGGCAGCAGUGGGGGAUAUUGCACAAUGGGGGAAACCCUGAUCCAGCGACGCCGCGUGAGUGAAGAAGUAUUUCGGUAUGUAAAGCUUUAUCAGCCGGGAAGAAAAUGACAGUACCCGACCAAGAAGCCCCGGCUAACUACGUGCCACCAGCCGCGGUAAUACGUAGGGGGCAGCCGUUAUCCGGAUUUACGGGGGGUAAAGGGGGGGUAGUCGGUUAUGUAAGUCUGGAGUGAAAGCCCGGGGCCCAACCCCGGGACUGCUUUGGAAACUGUGUAACUGGAGUGCAGGAGGGGCAGGCGGAAUGCCUGGUGUAGCGGUGAAAUGCGUAGAUAUCAGGAGGAACACCGGCGGCGAAGGCGGCCUGCUGGACUGAAACUGACGUUGAGGCUCGAAAGCGUGGGGAGCAAACAGGAUUAGAUACCCUUGUAGUC
rnacentral:rRNA from 1 species